AGACAUGCUGGCUGCUCAUUUGAUAAUCUGUGUUUUGCUCAGUACAAAAGGUUGCUGGCUAAGUUUUGUGAGCCCCUCUAACGUCAGGCUGGCAGUAUCUUGGGUUCAAUUAACAAGAAAGUCUACAGUAACAUUUUGUCAAUGGGGAAGGACUUGAAUUCACAGAACUGUCUCGGAAAGCCCUGGAAAAACAGGACAAAGAAACCUGUGUGAAUUUUCAGCUUUUCACCUUCUCUGAUUUUAUUUCUUCCUCACUCUUCCUUUGACAGUCCUCGCAGUCCGCCUGAGAGAGUAGAGAAGACCCCCUCCCAGAACCUUCCUGUAAGGUCUCCCCGCUGACUUCCUGUAGUGGAUGUGACUGUGUGCCAGGUGCCUGCCGAAGACCCCUGUCACUGACUGUGCCCUUUGGGAAAGAGUCAACAAUGGCCUCCUCCUAUGGCUGACUUCGUUCAUGUUCAGGCUCUCCAGCUUGCUAGUGAGAAUUGCCAAGGAUUGGUUCAUGGCAGGAUAGAACUAAACUGAUAGAUGAAAGCUCCACAGUGCUUCAAGACGGGGUCCCGUUCAUGUUAAGCAGUUUUCCUUCCUUCAAAAUAAAAAACUAGCAGUCCUUAGGGAGGACAGUUUUUUCCUUCCUUUUCCUAUUCUGGCUCCAACAGCUGUCUCAACACAGCCCGAGAUGGGGAGCAGCCUGGCUUCCACCGGCAAUAGCUGUAUUGUGGGAGUGUGAAAGAGAAGCCACCUUUUCCUCCCUCUGCCCAAGCCACCUGGCCCCUUUGUCCUUUCUCCUCCUCGUCCUCUGAGGUAUGAGUGGCUGUGACUGUAUGACAUAGGAACUAUGAAGCGGGGUGAGGGGACGGUUUGGUGCGUAAAUCCUCACGCAGGUGGCGGUUAUUGUCUGUGUGGAGGAAAUAAGCCCGGUUCUUCCUGGGACUGCUUUCAUUUCCCUCUAGCUUCCAGAGGGUAAAAUGAACCUUAAUGGAGGUUGGGGGGUGGCACGCACAAAGUCCUGGGUUGAGGGGGCAGUGGUCAGAAAGUUCCCUAGGGUAA
rnacentral:lncRNA from 1 species